GGCGAUAUGGCAUGGAAUCAGCUCAAGGAACUGUGAACGUAUAUCGGGCAACGACUAGGAAACUAGUCGUUGGGAAGAAACUGCCGAUAUACGGGAGUUCCUUGAGCGGGAGAUUCCAUGCCUAAGUCGC
rnacentral:misc_RNA from 1 species